CGGACGGGUGAGUAAUGUCUGGGAAACUGCCUGAUGGAGGGGGGUAACUACUGGAAACGGUAGCUAAUACCGCAUAACGUCGCAAGACCAAAGAGGGGGACCUUCGGGCCUCUUGCCAUCGGACGUGCCCAGAUGGGAUUAGCUAGUAGGUGGGGUAACGGCUCACCUAGGCGACGAUCCCUAGCUGGUCUGAGAGGAUGACCAGCCACACUGGAACUGAGACACGGUCCAG
rnacentral:rRNA from 1 species